UAAUGUAUGGGGAUCUGCCCGAUAGAGGGGGAUAACUACUGGAAACGGUGGCUAAUACCGCAUAAUGUCUACGGACCAAAGCAGGGGCUCUUCGGACCUUGCACUAUCGGAUGAACCCAUAUGGGAUUAGCUAGUAGGUGGGGUAAAGGCUCACCUAGGCGACGAUCUCUGGCUGGUCUGAGAGGAUGAUCAGCCACACUGGGACUGAGACACGGCCCAG
rnacentral:rRNA from 1 species